UCAGGCAGCCAUAUCACCCUGUAGCCCAAGACUGGUUGCCCACUGAAGCUAAGCAGGGCUGAGCCUGGUCAGUACCUGGAUGGGAGACCUCCUGGGAAAACUAGGUUGCUGCUGGAA
rnacentral:rRNA from 1 species